CGACCGGCGCACGGGUGAGUAACACGUAUCCAACCUGCCGAUAACUCGGGGAUAGCCUUUCGAAAGAAAGAUUAAUAUCCGAUAGCAUAUCAAUCCCGCAUGAGAUCGAUAUUAAAGAAUUUCGGUUAUCGAUGGGGAUGCGUUCCAUUAGUUUGUUGGCGGGGUAACGGCCCACCAAGACUACGAUGGAUAGGGGUUCUGAGAGGAAGGUCCCCCACAUUGGAACUGAGACACGGUCCAA
rnacentral:rRNA from 1 species